CUCAAUUUCGCAAAACACCUAUUUGUAUCCUUUUUUUAUACAUAUAGCUUCUUUGGGUACUUAUAAUGUAGAAUAAUGAAAAAAAUUUCUCGAACUCAAAUUUUGUGAACCAGGGAGGUGUGUCUUUUCCAACAAACCAAAAAUGGCUCGCGCACAAAAUUUAAAAGCUGUAAUCAUAUUUCGAGUUAAUAGAUGGAAACUUUGUCGGGUUUUUAAUUACUGUACAAAAUUUCAGACAAUUUGGUUUAGUUUAAGCCCUUUAACUAGUCAUUUUGUUCUAAAAAGUCAGCCUUUCGCAUGCUUAAUUAAUGCAUAUUGCUGACAUUUGCAUAUUGCUGACAUAUGCAAAUUAGGCAAAUGCAUUAAUUAAGCAUGCAAAUAGCUGAUUUUUAGGAAAAAUGUAACUUUGCGUGAAUAGUUAAGGGGCUUAAACUAAACCAAAUUGUCUGA